rnacentral:tRNA from 1 species
UUAAAGAUAAGCUAAUAUAAGCUAACGGGUUCAUACCCCGUCUAUGGGGCUCUCUCUUUAAA